AGGACGAACGCUGGCGGCGCGCUUAAUACAUGCAAGUCGAGCGGGAACCAGGGCUUCGGCUCUGGGGACAGCGGCGAACGGGUGAGUAACACGUGGGUAAUCAACCCCCGACACCGGGAUAGCCCAGGGAAACUUGGAUUAAUACCGGAUGCUCCGUCUGGCUUUAGGGCCGGCCGGAAAAGGGUAGCUUCGGCCUCCGGUCGGGGACGAGCCCGCGGCGGAUUAGCUUGUUGGUGAGGUAAAGGCUCACCAAGGCGACAAUCCGUAGCUGGUCUGAGAGGACGAUCAGCCACACUGGGACUGAGACACGGCCCAGACUCCUACGGGAGGCAGCAGUAGGGAAUCUUGCGCAAUGGGCGAAAGCCUGACGCAGCGACGCCGCGUGAGGGAAGAAGGCCUUCGGGUUGUAAACCUCUUUCAGGAGGGACGAAGCCACUCGGGUUAAUAGCCUAGAGGGUGACGGUACCUCCAGAAGAACGCCCCGGCUAACUACGUGCCAGCAGCCGC
rnacentral:rRNA from 1 species